rnacentral:rRNA from 1 species
AGCGAACGCUGGCGGCAGGCCUAACACAUGCAAGUCGAACGAACCUUUCGGGGUUAGUGGCGGACGGGUGAGUAACACGUGGGAACGUGCCUUUAGGUUCGGAAUAACUCAGGGAAACUUGUGCUAAUACCGAAUGUGCCCUUCGGGGGAAAGAUUUAUCGCCUUUAGAGCGGCCCGCGUCUGAUUAGCUAGUUGGUUGAGGUAAUGGCUCACCAAGGCGACGAUCAGUAGCUGGUCUGAGAGGAUGAUCAGCCACAUUGGGACUGAGACACGGCCCAAACUCCUACGGGAGGUAGCAGUGGGGAAUCUUGCGCAAUGGGCGAAAGCCUGACGCAGCCAUGCCGCGUGAAUGAUGAAGGUCUUAGGAUUGUAAAAUUCUUUCACCGGGGACGAUAAUGACGGUACCCGGAGAAGAAGCCCCGGCUAACUUCGUG